GGAGGAUAGCCCGGGGAAACUCGGAUUAAUACUCCAUAAGAUUUUGAUUGGCAUCGAUUAAAAUUGAAAGAUUUAUUGGAUAAGGAUAGGCAUGCGUCAGAUUAGUUAGUUGGUAGUGUAACGGACUACCAAGGCGAUGAUCUGUAGGGGGCCUGAGAGGGUGAACCCCCACACUGGUACUGAGACACGGACCAGACUCCUACGGGAGGCAGCAGUGAGGAAUAUUGGACAAUGGAGGGAACUCUGAUCCAGCCAUCCCGCGUGCAGGAAGACGGCCCUAUGGGUUGUAAACUGCUUUUGUAUGGGGAUAAAUCUACUUACGUGUAGGUAGUUGAAGGUAUCAUACGAAUAAGCAUCGGCUAACUCCGUGCCAGCAGCCGCGGUAAUACGGAGGAUGCAAGCGUUAUCCGGAUUCAUUGGGUUUAAAGGGUCCGUAGGCGGGCUGAUAAGUCAGUGGUGAAAUUUUGUCGCUCAACGAUAAAACUGCCAUUGAUACUGUUAGUCUUGAGUGAUAUUGAAGUAGCUGGAAUGUGUAGUGUAGCGGUGAAAUGCAUAGAUAUUACACAGAACACCGAUUGCGAAGGCAGGUUACUAAGUAUUAACUGACGCUGAAGGACGAAAGCGUGGGGAGC
rnacentral:rRNA from 1 species